GCGUGCGCGGCGUCGCCGGGCUUGCGAUGAACUUGCGGCUGUCAAGCUCCCGGCCGGGCUGACUCAAGCGGAGGCGCGCGGAACAGUCGCCGAGGCGAUUCCCGCCCAGGCUCCUGUAACCGCCAGGCAGCGGCCCCACCAUGUCCCAGCCCCGGACCCCAGAGCAGGCACUGGAUACGCCGGGGGACUGCCCCCCAGGCAGGAGAGACGAGGACGCUGGGGAGGGGAUCCAGUGCUCCCAACGCAUGCUCAGCUUCAGUGAUGCCCUGCUGUCCAUCAUCGCCACCGUCAUGGUCUGUACGGGGCCCCUGCUUAGGCCUGCCCCACCCCGAGCCUCUCGAGGCACUGCCCAGCCCACCUCAGACCUGUCUAGGUCUUGCCAGCAUCCUUGGGUCCCCCAGCUCCUCAGGCAGCUUAGGGGGGCCCAGCACUGCCCUCGAGUCCCCAGUACUGCCACACCCAAUCCAACAAGCGUCUCUUGCUUUCUUGCUUCCUUCUGUCUCU
rnacentral:lncRNA from 1 species